rnacentral:rRNA from 1 species
CUCAGACAGCCAGGAUGUUGGCUUAGAAGCAGCCAUCAUUUAAAGAAAGCGUAAUAGCUCACUGGUCGAGUCGGCCUGCGCGGAAGAUGUAACGGGGCUAAACUAUGCACCGAAGCUGCGGCAGCGAUAUGUAAAUAUUGUUGGGUAGGGGAGCGUUCUGUAAGCCUGUGAAGGUGUACUGUGAGGUAUGCUGGAGGUAUCAGAAGUGCGAAUGCUGACAUAAGUAACGAUAAUGCGGGUGAAAAACCCGCACGCCGGAAGACCAAGGGUUCCUGUCCAACGUUAAUCGGGGCAGGGUGAGUCGACCCCUAAGGCGAGGCAGAAAUGCGUAGUCGAUGGGAAACGGGUUAAUAUUCCCGUACUGGUGAUAAUUGCGAUGGGGGGACGGAGAAGGCUAGGCUAUCCGGGCGACGGUUGUCCCGGUUUAAGGAUGUAGGCAGGUGAAUUAGGCAAAUCCGGUUCAUUAUAUGCUGAGGUCCGAUGACGAGUCACUACGGUGAUGAAGUAGCUCAUGCCCCGCUUCCAGGAAAAGCCUCUAAGCUCUAGAUUAUCAUUAAUCGUACCCCAAACCGACACAGGUGGUCAGGUAGAGAAUACUCAGGCGCUUGA